UGAGGGUAAACGGCCCACCAAGCCUUCGAUCAGUAACUGGUGUGAGAGCACGACCAGUCACACGGGCACUGAGACACGGGCCCGACUCCUACGGGAGGCAGCAGUAAGGAAUAUUGGUCAAUGGACGCAAGUCUGAACCAGCCAUGCCGCGUGGAGGAUGAAGGUCCUCUGGAUUGUAAACUUCUUUUAUCUGGGAAGAAAUGCAUUUUUUCUAAAGUGUUUGACGGUACCAGAUGAAUAAGCACCGGCUAACUCCGUGCCAGCAGCCGCGGUAAUGCGGAGGGUGCAAGCGUUAUCCGGAUUCACUGGGUUUAAAGGGUGCGUAGGUGGGCAGGUAAGUCAGUGGUGAAAUCUCCGGGCUUAACCCGGAAACUGCCAUUGAUACUAUCUGUCUUGAAUACCGUGGAGGUGAGCGGAAUAUGUCAUGUAGCGGUGAAAUGCUUAGAUAUGACAUAGAACACCAAUUGCGAAGGCAGCUCACUACACGAAUAUUGACACUGAGGCACGAAAGCGUGGGGAUCAAACAGGAUUAGAUACCCUGGUAGUCCACGCCCUAAACGAUGGAUACUCGACAUACGCGAUACACAGUGUGUGUCUGAGCGAAAGCAUUAAGUAUCCCACCUGGGAAGUACGACCGCAAGGUUGAAACUCAAAGGAAUUGACG
rnacentral:rRNA from 1 species